GACGCUACGGACUUAAAAAAUCCGUCGACUUUUAAAAUCGUGAGGGUUCAAGUCCCUCUAUCCCCA
rnacentral:tRNA from 2 species